AUAACCUUUAGCUAAACCAACAUUAAAGGCAACGCCUGCCCAGUGAAUAAUUAAACGGCCGCGGUAUCCUAACCGUGCAAAGGUAGCAUAAUCAUUUGUCUAUUAAUUGUAGACUCGCAUGAAAGGCAUCAUGAGAGCCCGACUGUCUCUUAUAACUAAUCAAUUAAACUGAUCUUCCAGUACAAAAGCUGGAAUCCCUCUAUAAGACCAGAAGACCCUGUGAAGCUUUAACUAACCUAUUAAACUUAAUAAUAGCUAAUUUCGGUUGGGGCGACCUUGGAACUAAAAAGAACUUCCAAACAGUGACUCCACACUGGCUGACAAGCCCAUAGACCCAGUAUAUCUGAUAAAUGAACCAAGUUACUCCAGGGAUAACAGCGCUAUCUUCUUUAAGAGCCCAUAUCAAAAAGAAGGUUUACGACCUCGAUGUUGGAUCAGGACAUCCUAGUAAUGCAACCGUUUCUAAGGGUUCGUUUGUUCAACGAUUAAUAGUCCUACGUGAU
rnacentral:rRNA from 1 species